CGCGUAGGUGGCUGAUUAAGUUGGAUGUGAAAUCCCUGGGCUUAACCUAGGAACUGCAUUCAAUACUGGUCAACUUGAGUAUGGGAGAGGGUAGUGGAAUUUCCGGUGUAGCGGUGAAAUGCGUAGAUAUCGGAAGGAACAUCAGUGGCGAAGGCGACUGCCUGGCCCAAUACUGACACUGAGGCGCGAAAGCGUGGGUAGCGAACA
rnacentral:rRNA from 1 species